UGAAAAUCAAGGUUUGAAAAACAUGUCUUUGGCUUUAAGGGAAGUGGUGGAUGCUACAAACCAAAGAAUCAUAGACUUCAAUGGAUUGUGGAAGAAUGAAACAAGAUGUUAGGGUUUGGGAUGUAAAAUGGGCCCCCGUUGACUUUGGUUAACUAGUUGACCAAAAAGUCAACAGUUGACCAAAAGUCAACUUCGUAAAAAAUGUCAAAUUUUGUAAUUUCCUUUUAUGUGGGGACAUUUGGUGAUGUGUAAUGAAUGGAAUUUGGUUUAUAUGAAUGAAACUGACAAUGAAUGAAUCUUGUAUGAACUUAAAUGGAUUGAAUUUGGUAUUUGAGUUGACA
rnacentral:lncRNA from 1 species